rnacentral:rRNA from 1 species
UAGUUAAACGGCCGCGGUAUCCUGACCGUGCAAAGGUAGCAUAAUCACUUGUUCCUUAAUUAGGGACUUGUAUGAACGGCUAAACGAGGGUCCAACUGUCUCUUAUUUUCGAUCAGUGAAAUUGACCUUCCAGUCAAGAGGCUGGAADCCNNNNAUAAGACGAGAAGACCCUAUGGAGCUUAAAUUAAUAWMCUUAUAUGAAUAUCUUCCAUAAACCUAGUGGAAUAAAAACAGAAAUAAUUAAGCUUAAAAUUUUGGUUGGGGUGACCUCGGAGAACAGAAAAUCCUCCGAACGAUUAUAACAUAGACCAACMAGUCAAAGUAAACCAAUUUUCCAAUUGACCCAAAAAUUUGAUCAACGGACCAAGUUACCCUAGGGAUAACAGCGCAAUCCUAUUUAAGAGUCCAUAUCGACAAUAGGGUUUACGACCUCGAUGUUGGAUCAGGACAUCCCAAUGGUGCAGAAGCUAUUAAUGGUUCGUUUG